AUACGAAGGGGGCUAGCGUUGUUCGGAAUUACUGGGCGUAAAGCGCAUGUAGGCGGGCAUUUAAGUCAGGGGUGAAAUCCCGGGGCUCAACCUCGGAACUGCCUUUGAUACUGGGUGUCUAGAGUGUGGAAGAGGUAAGUGGAAUUCCGAGUGUAGAGGUGAAAUUCGUAGAUAUUAGGAGGAACACCAGUGGCGAAGGCGACUUACUGGACUGUAACUGACGCUGAGGUGCGAAAGCGUGGGGAGC
rnacentral:rRNA from 1 species